rnacentral:rRNA from 1 species
UAAAGUUCUGAGUAGAUAAUUGAUAAUGACAAACUUCUAUUCAUAUGUCUUGACCAAUUCUUGUGCCAGCAGUCGCGGUAACACAAGUAAGACUAGUGUUAUUCAUCAUUAUUAGGUUUAAAGGGUACCUAGACGGCUAGAGUUUUAUGUGAGAGGAUAAUAGUCGAAUUAUAGGUGUAGAGAUAAAAUUCUGUCAUACUUAUAGGACGUGUAACGGCGAAAGCAACCCUUUAUAACUGACGUUAAGGGACGAAGGCUCGGGGCGCAAACAGGAUUAGUUACCCCAGUAGUCCGGGCAGACAAUUAUGAAUGUUAAAAUAAAUGAAAGUGUAAGCAUUCCACCUCAAGAGUAAUGCGGCAACGCAGGAACUGAAAUCAUUAGACCGUUUCUGAAACCAGUAGUGAAGUAUGUUAUUUAAUUCGAUGAUCCACGAAAAACCUUACCACAAUUUGAAU